AUUGAACGCUGGCGGCAUGCUUUACACAUGCAAGUCGAACGGCAGCACGGGCUUCGGCCUGGUGGCGAGUGGCGAACGGGUGAGUAAUACAUCGGAACAUACCUGGUAGUGGGGGAUAGCUCGGCGAAAGCCGGAUUAAUACCGCAUAAGAUCUGAGGAUGAAAGCAGGGGACCUUCGGGCCUUGCGCUACUGGAGUGGCCGAUGGCAGAUUAGGUAGUUGGUGGGGUAAAGGCCUACCAAGCCUGCGAUCUGUAGCUGGUCUGAGAGGACGACCAGCCACACUGGGACUGAGACACGGCCCAGACUCCUACGGGAGGCAGCAGUGGGGAAUUUUGGACAAUGGGCGCAAGCCUGAUCCAGCAAUGCCGCGUGCAGGAUGAAGGCCUUCGGGUUGUAAACUGCUUUUGUACGGGACGAAAAGUCUCUGGUUAAUACCCGGGGAUGAUGACGGUACCGUAAGAAUAAGCACCGGCUAACUACGUGCCAGCAGCCGCGGUAAUACGUAGGGUGCGAGCGUUAAUCGGAAUUACUGGGCGUAAAGCGUGCGCAGGCGGCGAUGCAAGACCGAUGUGAAAUCCCCGGGCUCAACCUGGGAACUGCAUUAGUGACUGCAUUGCUGGAGUGCGGCA
rnacentral:rRNA from 1 species